rnacentral:misc_RNA from 1 species
GUUUCAUCGUUGUUCGAGUCCUUCUCUUUACCUUCAGCAGAUUCAACACAGUCAGGAAAUCUAAAGCAACUAAUAAGAUGGUCAUUUGUAAUACCAGCAACCUGCAUGAAAGAGUAGACCACAGUAGGUCCCACGCCCCGGAAACCUCUCCUAAUUAGGUCUUUGCUAAUCAGAUCUGCUUUUGCUGUCUUCACCGGAACUUGACGAGGAUAUCUAAAUCCACUUACUAUAGGCUUGUGGUUCACAAAGCUCCAGAUAUACUUGUCAAAUGAUCCAAAUUCAUCUAUAACCUUCAACAUUUGACGAGCAUUUUCAAUGAUGC